GUGAGAAGGCCGGGGAGGCAGGCCCUGCUGUCUUCCUGCAGGCCGGCAGCCUGCUGGCAGUGGAGGACCAGGCCGUCCAGGAAAGGAAGGGGUCAGGAGGUCGGGCAGGGCCUCAGCAGCUGUUAGCCGAGCAAGCAUGAAGAAUCGAGAGGAAAGAUCCCAGCAUUUUUUCGACACAUCAGUACCACUAAUGGAUGAUGGAGACGAUAACACUCUUUACCAUCGGGGUUUUACAGAGGACCAGUUAGUUCUGGUGGAGCAGAACACACUGAUGGUGGAAGAGCGGGAACGAGAGAUUCGCCAGAUUGUACAGUCCAUUUCUGACCUGAAUGAAAUAUUCAGGGACUUAGGAGCGAUGAUUGUAGAACAGGGUACAGUCCUUGACAGAAUUGACUAUAACGUUGAACAGUCCUGUAUCAAAACUGAAGAUGGUUUGAAACAGCUUCACAAGGCAGAACAGUAUCAAAAGAAGAAUCGGAAGAUGCUUGUGAUUUUAAUAUUAUUUGUCAUCAUCAUUGUGCUCAUUGUUGUCCUCGUUGGCGUGAAGUCUCGAUAAGUGGCAUUGGGUUUUCGUGUGUGCCGCGCGUGUGGAUCUCCCGGGUGUGAGGGGCUUGGCCUGCGCCCCGCCAGCUGCCCGCAGAGGUGCAGCCUCGAGGAAUCU
rnacentral:sRNA from 1 species